rnacentral:lncRNA from 1 species
AACAGCGGCGUCAUAAAGGGGUAGUGGCUUAAAUUUUGUUUGCUGAUCCUAUGAUGGAUCUGAAUCUGAUCCUGGGUCCUUCCUCCCAAGAUACCAGAGCUCGGUUUCGCGACGGACAGCGGGGAAACUUUUGGCCUCCUUUGAAUGAAGUUACCUGACUAAGCUCAAUAACUGUUGCUACAAGAUUUCAAACUCUUUCUUUAGUCUCAGCUUGCCCUGACAAAAAGUUACAUAUGUUUCCAGUUUGCUUUGGGAUACUAUAUGCAUGAAUGAAGCGUGUGUUUUUUAGGAAGUCUUUGUUAGGGGGUAUAUGAAACCAGUGAAAUUAACUCCGGAGACAUCAAAUUUUACAUGAUUGACAUCAAGAUUUAUCUUUUUCAGUUCAUGGUGUUAUAGACUUUUGAUUUUGGUGCCAACUCAUGGCAAGUCUGGUAUGGACUUUUGAUUUGAUGCCAACUCGUAGCAAGUCUUCCAGAGGGACACUUAAAUUCUCAGCUCUUGCCACAAUUGCAUUGC